UGGCGCAAGGGUGAGUAAUGCAUAGAUUACCUGCCUCUAGGAUAAGGACAACUUUGUGAAAACGAAGCUAAUACUUAAUAAUACAAAAGAAAAUUAUCUUCUUUUGUCAAUGGGAGGGUAGCAAUACCUUUUGCCUAGAGAGGGGUUUAUGUCCUAUCAGCUUGUUGGUGGGGUAAUGGCCUACCAAGGCGAAGACGGGUAGCCGGUCUUAGAGGAUGGUCGGCCACACUGGGACUGAGACACUGCCCAGACUUCUACGGAAGGCUGCAGUCGAGAAUCUUUCGCAAUGCCCGAAAGGGUGACGAAGCGACGCCGCGUGAGUGAGGAAGGCCUUCGGGUUGUAAAGCUCUGUCAGGAGUUAAGAAAUGUAAGUGUGCUAAUACCACAUUUAUUUGACGAAGGCUCCAAAGGAAGCCACGGCUAACUCUGCGCCAGCAGCCGCGGUAAUACAGAGGUGGCAAGCGUUGUUCGGAAUUAUUGGGCGUAAAGAGCACGUAGGUGGGUUUGUAAGUCAGAUGUGAAAGCCUUCUGUUCAACGGAAGAAUUGCAUCUGAAACUGCGAGUCUUGAGUGUAGGAGGGGAGAAUGGAACUUCUGGUGGAGCGGUGAAAUGCGUAGAUAUCAGAAGGAACGCCGGCGGCGAAAGCGAUUCUCUGGCCUAUUACUGACACUCAGUGUGCGAAAGCUAGGGGAGCAAACGGGAUUAGAUACCCCGGUAGUCCUAGCCGUAAACGAUGGGCACUAAG
rnacentral:rRNA from 1 species